GACGAACGCUGGCGGCGUGCAUAACACAUGCAAGUCACGGGGGCCAGCAAUGGCAACCGGCGAACGGGUGCGUAACACGUAAGCGACCUACCUCGAUGUGGGGCAUAGCCGGCCUAACGGCCGGGUAAUUCCGCAUGUGAUCCUUGAGGGGCAUAUCUCGGGGAUGAAACCAGUAAUGGGCAUUGAGAGGGGCUUGCGGCCUAUCAGCUUGUUGGCGGGGUAACGCUCACCAAGGCGACGACGGGUAGCUGGUCUGAGAGGAUGGCCAGCCACAUUGGGACUGAGAAACGGCCCAGACUCCUACGGGAGGCAGCAGUGGGGAAUCUUGCGCAAUGGCCUAACGGCUGACGCAGCGACGCCGCGU
rnacentral:rRNA from 1 species